rnacentral:rRNA from 1 species
AUUGAACGCUGGCGGCAUGCCUUACACAUGCAAGUCGAACGGUAACAGGUCUUCGGAUGCUGACGAGUGGCGAACGGGUGAGUAAUACAUCGGAACGUGCCUAGUAGUGGGGGAUAACUACUCGAAAGAGUGGCUAAUACCGCAUGAGAUCUACGGAUGAAAGCAGGGGAUCGCAAGACCUUGUGCUACUAGAGCGGCCGAUGGCAGAUUAGGUAGUUGGUGGGAUAAAAGCUUACCAAGCCGACGAUCUGUAGCUGGUCUGAGAGGACGAUCAGCCACACUGGGACUGAGAAACGGCCCAGACUCCUACGGGAGGCAGCAGUGGGGAAUCUUGGACAAUGGGCGCAAGCCUGAUCCAGCAAUGCCGCGUGCAGGAUGAAGGCCUUCGGGUUGUAAACUGCUUUUGUACGGAACGAAAGGCCCGGGUUAAUACCCUGGGGUCAUGACGGUACCGUAAGAAUAAGCACCGGCUAACUACGUGCCAGCCGCCGCAGUAA